GGCCGGGGGCCGGGGUGGAGGAAGCUGUGUCGGGGAACACGCCUGCCCCUCUGCCCCAGGAUUCGGGGUAGCGGUCGUGCAGUUGGACUGACCCGGGGCCUCCAAGGGCACCCCGUCUGUCCCCGGGGUGCCUCCGCCGCCUCCCACCUGCCCGGCCCGCGGGUUAGCCCCACUGGCCUCCUGCAUCUAUCUCCCUGCUCUCUGGCCUCCACUGCCUGGUGGUCCGGCCACCGGGAGACGCCCACAACCGCUUUCCAACCACCGCCUGCCCGGGCGGGGGCGGCGGGGGCCGGCGGGGGCCGGCGCUCUGCUCUCAUCCCCGCCCAAGACCACCACCCACGUGCAGCUCCAUCGCUGGCGGUUGCCGGGCCGACGGCCGGCCGAGAGAAGGCACCGGGGGCUCCAGCAAGUGACCCCCGACUCAGAGAGAGACAGGUCUCAAUUUUGGGAGAAAGAAGCGGCCACUGCCUGCUGAUGCCAAGAAAUUGGGAAGAAAAGAAGCAAGGACUCUAGUGUCGCACAACCGGGAUGGUUUAAUGAUCUGGCUUUUAGAACCACACAACUGGGAUCUACUUGCAAUCUCAAGGAACUGCAGGGAGCUGGACUCCGCUUCAGCCAAAGCCAACUUUUCAUCCUCUCAGAUGUCCUUCUUAGCUCGGGAGUCAGGACAGGAAGACCAUGGAGGGGAAACUCAGUUGGCUCAGACUUUCUUCCAGAACGCUUUUAGAAGAACAAAAUCCUGCCUUGUCCCUAGUCUCUGCCUAUGUACCUGUUAUUCAUCUACUUGUUUAUGCACACACGUGUUCAUUCAUCAAACAUAUGUUGACAACUGUCAUGUGCCGGGCACCCUGCAAGGACCUGCAAAUAAAAUGAUGAGCAGAAAACAGAUACAGUUAUCAUAUUUAUUCAGUUCAUAAACCGCUUUCUGUAAGUCCUGACGACGAGAACUGUGUGAUCCAGUUGUGCUCUCUGGGAGAAUUUCCAGUACAAAGGGGGCUCCCUGGUCCCUGAUUCUUUCUCCUGCUGUUUACAAAGCUAGGGAGGCUAGAGAGCUAUGCCAUCCACUUGCCCUGUAUUGGCUGAAGGGAAUUGGCUUGGGGGUCAUCCAAACCUGUUGUGCUGCCGGGUUUUCAGACUCAGGAGAGCAGAGCAGGGCCUUUGGCUGCAUAGAGUCAAGCUCCCCAAAGUGCUGCAGUUACCUUGGUGCUUGGCCACAAAUCAUUCAAUAGGAACUGCCAGCCCAUGACUCUACCCGAUGUUUCUAGUGUCAUGAGUUAGACUUUCUGCUCUCAGGUUGAAGCUUGGUGGUUCACAGUACACCCAGAUUGCUGUCCUUUGAGCCACAAAGCUUCCUUCCUUUGCCCCCAGAACUCCCGUGUUCUCCAUUCUUUCAUGAGCUCCUUAUCUCCUUUCUGAAUAAUUUCUGGUAUGCGUGAGGCUCCUUGGGCAGUUUCUUUCUGUCUGUCUUUUUAUUUUCCUUUUUUUUUAAUCUUAAGCAGCCUCCAUGCCCAGCGUGGAGCCCAACAAUGCGGAGCUCCAACUCAUGACCCUGAGAUCAUGAUCUGAGCUGAAAUCAUGAGUCAGAUGCUCAACCAAAUAAGCUUGAACAGUUUCUUCUUGGUCAAAAGACUUUUGUUGCUCGCUUCGGCAGCACCUAUACUAAAACUGCUCAAAAGACUUUUGAGUAAGGAAUGCCUGGGUGACUCAGUGAUUGAAUGUCUGCCUUCAGCUUGGGGUGGGAUCCUGGGAGUUCCAGAAUCGAGUUCUGCAUCGGGCCUCCCGCAUGGAGCCU
ensembl:lncRNA